AUGAACGCUAGCGGCAGGCUUAACACAUGCAAGUCGAGGGGUAUAGUUCUUCGGAACUAGAGACCGGCGCACGGGUGCGUAACGCGUAUGCAAUCUACCUUUUGCAGAGGGAUAGCCCAGAGAAAUUUGGAUUAAUACCUCAUAGUAUGUGAGAAUGGCAUCAUUUCACAUUAAAGUCACAACGGCAAAAGAUGAGCAUGCGUCCCAUUAGCUAGUUGGUAAGGUAACGGCUUACCAAGGCAACGAUGGGUAGGGGUCCUGAGAGGGAGAUCCCCCACACUGGUACUGAGACACGGACCAGACUCCUACGGGAGGCAGCAGUGAGGAAUAUUGGACAAUGGGCGCAAGCCUGAUCCAGCCAUGCCGCGUGCAGGAUGACGGUCCUAUGGAUUGUAAACUGCUUUUGUACAGGAAGAAACACUGGUUCGUGAACCAGCUUGACGGUACUGUAAGAAUAAGGAUCGGCUAACUCCGUG
rnacentral:rRNA from 1 species